CGUAGGGUGCAGGCGUUAAUCGGAAUUACUGGGCGUAAAGCGUGCGCAGGCGGCUCCUUAAGUCAGAUGUGAAAGCCCCGGGCUUAACCUGGGAACUGCGUUUGAAACUGGGGAGCUAGAGUGUAGAAGAGGGGGGUGGAAUUCCAGGUGUAGCAGUGAAAUGCGUAGAGAUCUGGAGGAACACCGAUGGCGAAGGCAGCCCCCUGGGCUAACACUGACGCUCAUGCACGAAAGCGUGGGGAGCAAACAGGAUUAGAUACCCUGGUAGUCCACGCCCUAAACGAUGUCAACUGGUUGUCGGGGAAGUAAUUCCUUGGUAACGAAGCUAACGCGUGAAGUUGACCGCCUGGGGAGUACGGCCGCAAGGCUA
rnacentral:rRNA from 1 species